rnacentral:sRNA from 1 species
AGCAUAACUGUGGGAGAAUAGUAAGCAUUGGACACAAAAUGUUGAAAACAUUCAAGUACGGAAUAAACUAUUACUGCGAAUACGCUCAUAUGACACAAGAACAAUCUCUGAGCUUCUUUGAGGAUGUCCAGAUGACUGCUGACUGCACUAAUUGUAUCAAUCGUGUAUCCAUACAGGUUCUUUCUAUAAAAUAGUGGUCGCUAGUUAUGAGGCGUUAAGCCUUCAUGGAUAUAAACAGACUAUUCCACCUAAGUGAUCUGGCAGAAGCUUAGUUUUCUACCACAACGUCCACCGUCCUCCCUCCCUCCCUUCCUAGCUGGUCAGAAAAGCUACUCAGAAUAAAGACUACAUUUCCCAGCCAUCUUUGCAGCUAGGUUUAUCCACCUGACUAAAUUCCACCGUAACUCCAGGUUGAAGAACUUCUACUUAUAGGCAUCUAUUCAACGAAGACGAAUCCUGGAAUGGGGAUGGAAAUGAUGGCUCAUGUCUUAGCAAACUACCAGUACGUCUACUAGAACCGGAACUGAUCCGAGAGGACAGGGAAGUCAGUGUGGGCGGCUCUAAGGAGCCUCCCUCUCUACAGCUGCGGCUCAGAGGAUUACGGCGCUUCAUCCACAAGGCAACAUUGCACAAGUAGCUUUUGAACAAAAGUCAUGGAUACUAUUAAUGAUAUGGUAAUCCUUAAUCGAGCUACCUCCCAGUAGUGAUUAUACUGACAUGGGAAGAAUAUCUAAGUCGUGGAGGCAGCCCACAACAACACUGUGUCAUUGUUCACCCCGGGCUCGACCAGGACUAACUUUUACCAGCAUCUCUAACGUCACCUUUCCCCUGAUGCCUCCCCACAACCCCUGGCCCCAGCUCCCAUUCCCGCCCCAUCAUAGCAAAAAAGUAGCAAAGAAAACCCUGAUCCUAAA